rnacentral:lncRNA from 1 species
AGAAAGCAGAAAGUACUCGCAAAAGUUAAUAUACGAGCGAGGAAAGGAAUAAGCUUCUCUGAGGAAGAUCCAGCCCACACAAGGAUACACCAUUCAUAAGUCUAAAUAAAAUAGACAAUAGCAUACCUAGUUACGCAAGGCGGAACAAUUAACCGUGUUCACCCUUGCGGCAUUCGCAUGGAAGGUAGAGCAGAUUCCAAAG